GACGAACGCUGGCGGCGUGCUUAACACAUGCAAGUCGAACGGAAAGGCCCUGCUUUUGUGGGGUGCUCGAGUGGCGAACGGGUGAGUAACACGUGAGUAACCUGCCCUUGACUUUUGGAUAACUUCAGGAAACUGGGGCUAAUACCGGAUAGGAGCUCCUGCUUCAUGGUGGGGGUUGGAAAGUUUCGGCGGUUGGGGAUGGACUCGCGGCUUAUCAGCUUGUUGGUGGGGUAGUGGCUUACCAAGGCUUUGACGGGUAGCCGGCCUGAGAGGGUGACCGGCCACAUUGGGACUGAGAUACGGCCCAGACUCCUACGGGAGGCAGCAGUGGGGAAUAUUGCACAAUGGGCGGAAGCCUGAUGCAGCAACGCCGCGUGCGGGAUGACGGCCUUCGGGUUGUAAACCGCUUUCGCCUGUGACGAAGCGUGAGUGACGGUAAUGGGUAAAGAAGCACCGGCUAACUACGUG
rnacentral:rRNA from 1 species